rnacentral:lncRNA from 1 species
AGAGAGAGAGGGUACCUCCCGGUGGAUGAAAGGUGGCGCGGCGGAGCAGUUAGGGGUCGGCUCCGGCUAGCGGAUGGGGAGGGGCGGCGGCGCUGAUGGGAGGGGCGGCGGAGCCGAUGGGAGGGCCAGCUCGGGCUAGCGUACGGGGAGGGGCGGCGACGACGACGGGGGGCGCGGCACGGAGGAGCAGGCGGUGACGCUGGGAGCAGGGCGGCGCGGAGGAGCAGGCGGCGACGCAGGGCGCAGGGAGGCGCAGAGUAACAGGCGGCGACGCUGGGAGCAGGGCGGCGCAGAGGAGAAGGCGGCAGCGCUGGGAGCAGGGCGUCACGGAGGAGCGGGGGCGGCCGGGGAGCAGGGCGGCGUGGGCAUUGGGUAAGAACAUGGUGAGGGCGGCGGUGGGGCGGCGCGGAGGAGGGCAGCACGGAGGUGCAGACGGCUCGGGGAGGAGCACACGGCGCACAGGACGCGCUCUGUUUUGGGGGAUUUGUGAAAAGGGAGCCUUUGACGGUCAAUUUUUAUCUCCGCGCGUCAAAUUUGGAUUUUGGCGGUCUUUUUUCAUCUACGCGCUCUAUUUUUUGUAAGAUCCGCGCACACGGUAAACCGGGUGUUAUAGAAUAAGCCGAGUAUUGAUUACACGGCUGACCCUUUUUUUUUCUACACAAAAAGUUCAUCACUUUACUUUUCAAAUUCUGUCCGUUUUAUUUUGUUGUAUUUUUAUUAUACUUGUUCUUUUAUUAUAUUUUAAUUUCAUUGUCUUUAUGUUUUUGGGAUUCACCCAUCCGUAGGGUCAACACGAUCUAUGUCUUCAAUUUGACCGGACUCGAGAGAGGUUUGACCGUAGAUUAUCCUUGUGAUGUAUUAGCGACAUGUGUCUCCCUUGUGCAGAAAAGGAAGGGGCAGUUCCAGCCACGAGGAAGCGCAAUUACUUCGGCGGCAUGCAUGACUCGUCCAACCGUUUAAAUCAACGGGAAAUCGUAUGAUACCGAAAAUCCACGGGAUCUGGCAUAUGGCAUAAUCACAUGGCACCUAUAGGGUGUGGUAAAAGUUUGGGGGCAUUUCGAAUAGGCCUCACCUCAGGUCGCUGGUAAAAUGCACCAUCUUUCAUGUAGUCUCUCGGUAUCGAGAGGGAAAGUGUCGGAUUUGUGAAGGAAAUGUUGGUCGUGCUGCUCGGUUGGCCUCGAAACUUUCCGUGCUCUUAGGCAAGUCCAUUGAAUGACAUGUGUCAGGCCCCCGCAUUAUUUUGACCCGCCUACAAUAUUUGAGACAUUUAUUGCACUUCUAGGGUUUCAGCGUCGGAAAUUGCAAAUCUGCAAGGCGACACAUGAAAUCAUGCCCAGGAGCAGCAUGGAAAAUCCUAUGUGAUGUAUUUGUGACAUGUGUAUGCCUUAUGCAGGCGUGGGAGGGGCAGCCCCAGACAUCGCGGGUACGAAAUCACCUGGGUGACAUGCCUCAUCCAACCGUUUGAAGCCUCGGAAAAUGGUACGAUGCCAGAAAUCCUCAGGAUCAGGCACGACGUCAUCACAUGGCCCCUGUAGGGUGUCGUAAAAGUUUGGGCGCAUUCCAGAUGGGCCUUGCCCGAGGCCGCUUGUAAACUGCACCAUCUUCGAGGUAGUCUCUUGGCAUCGAGAGGGAACGUGUCACGUUUGUGAAGGAAGUGUUGGUCAUGUUGCUCCGUUGGUAUCGAAACUCCCCGUGCUCUCAAAGGAGGCCAUCGAAUGACACGUGUCAGGCGCCCGCAUUUUUCUGACCCGCCUACAAUAUUUGAGAUAUUUAUUGCAUUUCUAUGGUUUUGAGCGUCGAAAAUUGCAGAUCUGCAAGGCGACACAUGAAACCAUGCCCAUAAGCAGCAUGGAAAAUCCUAUGUGAUGUAUUUGUGACAUGGGUAUGCCUUGUGCAGGCGUGGGAGGGGCGCCCCACACAUCGGGGAUACGAAAUCACCUGGGCGACAUACCUCAUCCAACCGUUUGAAGCCUCGGAAAAUGGUAUGAUGCCAGAAAUCCUCAGGAUCAGGCACGACGUCAUCACAUGGCCCCUGUAGGGUGCCCUAAAAGUUUGGGCGCGUUCCGGGUGGGCCUUGCCCGAGGCCGCUUGUAAACUGCACCAUCUUCGAGGUAUUCUCUUGGUAUCGAGAGGGAACGUGUCAGGUUUGUGAAGAAAGUGUUGGUCAAGUUGCUCCGUUGGCAUCGAAACUCCUCGUGCCCUCAAAGGAGGCCAUCGAAUGACACGUGUCAGGCCCCCGUAUUUUUCUGACCCGCCUACAAUAUUUAUGGCAUUUAUUGCAUUUCUAGGGUCUCAGCGCGGAAAUUGCAGAUCUACAAGGCGACACAUGAAACCAUGCCCAGAAGCGGCAUGGAAAAUGCUAUGUGAUGUAUUAGCGACAUACAUCUCCCCUUUUCACACGAGGGACGGGCAAUUCCGGCCAUCAGGGGGCGAAAUUACUUCGACGGCAUGACUCGUCCAACCGUUUUAAUCCACGGAAAAUCGUAUGAUACCAGAAAUCCACGGGAUCUAGCACGACGUCAUCACAUGGCCCCUGUAGGGUGUGGUAAAAUUUUGUCCAAUAGGCCUCACAUGAGGUCGCUUGUAAAACGCACCAUCUUAGUCUCUCGGCAUCGAGAGGGAAGGUGUCGGGUUUGUGAAGGAAGUGCUGGUCUUGCUGCUCCGUUGGCCUCGAAACUUUCCAUGCUCUUAGGCGAGGCCAUUGAAUGACACGUGUCAGCCCCCCGCAUUAUUCUGACCCGCCUACAAUAUUUGAGACAUUUAUUGCAUACUUCUAGGGUUUCAGUGUCGGAAAUUGCAGAUCUGCAAGACGACACAUGAAAUCAUGCCCAGAAGAAGCAUGGAAAAUCCUAUGUGAUGUAUUUGUGACAUGGGUAUGCCUUGUGUAGGCAUGGGAGGAGCAGCCCCAGCCAUCGGGGGUACGAAAUCACUUGGGCGACCUGCCUCGUCCUACCGUUUGAAGCCUCGGAAAAUGGUACGAUGCCAGAAAUCCUCAGGAUCAGGCACGACGUCAUCACAUGGCCCCUGUAGGGUGUCAUAAAAUUUUAGGCGCGUUCCGGGUGGGCCUUGCCUGAGGCCGCUUGUAAACUGCACCAUCUUCGAGGUAGUCUCUUGGUAUCGAGAGGAAACGUGUCACGUUUGUGAAGGAAGUGUUGGUCAUGUUGCUCCGUUGGCAUCGAAACUCCUCGUGCUCUCAAAGGAGGCCAUCAAAUGUGACAUGUGUGAGGCCCCCACAUUUUUCUAACCCGCCUACAAGAUUUGAGGCAUUUAUUGCAUUUCUAGGGUUUUCGGUGAUCUUUCUACCCUCCCUCGCACGAUUUUCGAUGAUGCACCAGACCUAGAGCCCACACGGUCUAUAGUCGACAUGAGAGACAUUCCUGUGGUAAAAUGAAUAAAUAAAUAACAUUCAAGUAUUAAAGAUAAAUGCAAGGGAAAUCACUUUAGAACUUUUUUCAAUUUGAAAAUCUAUAAAAUUUAAACCGAGUGCUUUUGCGGAACACACGGCUUAUAGUGUGUGUAAGCCGUGUCCACUUGCCAAGCACACAGCUUAUAGUGUGUGUAAGCCGUGUGUACUUGUUAAGCACACGGCUUAUAGCUCAAGCCGUGACGGCGCCGUCAGGCACCGCUGUUGUAGACACGUGGCAGAUACCUUUACCGGGUGGCGCGCUAUAAACCGAGUGCUUUCUUCAUAUAUACCGUGUGGCACCUAUAAGCCGAGAGCUUUUUGUGGGCACUCAGCUUAUAGGAUAGCAUAAGCCGAGUGCAUUGUUGUUAUCGGGUGUUUUUCCGUGUGUGCACGGCUUAGAUUCAGAUAAGUCGAGUAUCCGAAAAAAAAACACGACUUAUAGCUUGCCACACGGUAAAACAGUUGCUAGAUGCCACUCACUCUGAUUUAAAAAACUUGCUCGCAUCUAGCAACUGAACAGUGAAUAUAUAUUUUACAUGAGUUUAUUUUAAAUUUUUUAUAUUAAUAUAUGUUUAUAUGGUCACUUUUGUAGACCAGGGAUAAAAACCGACGGCUUUGGAUGAUGCUCUCAAAAUGUUGAUUUGAUAAAAUCAUUGGCAAAACUAUUUUUCUUUUGAAUUUUCAACCUUGAAUUAUCAUGUAUAGGGGCUUUCAAAUGCCCAAAUGAGUAGCAUGCACAAACGGGGGUGCAAGGCAACGAGAGAAGAACUGGAGGGAAAAUAGACUAGGCGAGCAGAGAGCAAGCAAAGCAAGCCAACAAAGCAUCAGCUUUAGGGCGGCAGUCGCUCGAAAAAGGAGCCACGCGAAGAAACGAACCCAACUGAGGGCAUAAUUGUGCUGGGCAAAGUCAAGAAAGGGCACAAUCACACCACGAAAGUGGCCGAACUUGUAGACCCUGGCCGAGAAGAUCACCAUACCCUUGGCGCAGCCAAGGCGGAGAGCCCUCUCAUCGGGGCAGCCCGUAAGGGUCACCGCGCAGACACUGGGCAUGAGGACCCGUUGCUUGUGAGCCCCGGCAUGGUUCAUGCAAGACACGCACCCCGUUGAGCCCAUGCUAGACCACGUGGGCGACCUAGACCUCCGGAACCGUGGCGUGGGAGAAGAGCGAGCUUAUUCGCAUGAACAACGCACCGCCGGGGAGCAAAGAUUCCAUCAAAAAUGUUGUAGUGCAUCCGUGCCCGUGGAGAUAUAUGAGAUCGACCUGCACACUGGUAGCAGUGCAACGAGACACACCGAGUGUGGGCCGGUCAUCGACAACGCCUCAGCACGGUUCAACAAUGGCCGGCCCAACUCAAAUCACACCUAGCGCGCUUACGAAAAAUCUUGGCGGGAGUGAAGGCGAUGGAGACGCUUCAUGUGAGGAGGCAUCGGUUUUGCACCGACAGAGCGUGUACCCCCAGCCCCACCCCCCUCUUCCUGGGGAUGUACCACAUGGUCUCAAGCCACCAUCCAAAGGAAGGAGCGGUGCAAGACGUCGAUCGCCUAGAUAAACGACAGAGGGAGCUCCAUCACCGCCAUGUCAUAGGUGGGAAGCGCAUCAAGCACGUUAUUGAGCAGUACUAGAGCCCUUCGAAGGAGAGAAGCUGCCCACGCUAGCUAGAGAGAUAGCAUUCGACCUUGGUGAUGAGUGGGAGGAAGUCAUCCAUCAUGAAUUUGCGGUUGGAGAGCGGUAGUCGGAGAUAAACUUGAGGGAAACCGCCCACACAGCAAGAUAAACUUGAGGGAAGCCGCCCACACAGCAGCCCAAAACAGCCUGGACGUACCGAGCGGGCUUCGUGGCCCGCUCGUGGACCGCUCGAUCCGAGCCGGCUCGGUCCAGGCCUGACCACAAAAACCGGUCGGUCCGGUCCCUCAAAACAAGACCGAAAUUUGCUCGGUCCGGUCUGGUUAAAGCCCGGUCCGACUGAGCGGACCGAACAGCUCACCGGCGGCAUGGCGAGGCAUGGCGGGGGCGUGCUGGAGGCAUGACGGGGGCGUGCUGGAGGAGUGCCGGGGGCGUGCUGGAGGUGUGGCGGCUCAGGCGUGGCGGGGGAGACGUGCUAUGCCGCCGUCGCCGCCGUCCAGAGCACGAGAUGGAGGAGGACGUGGCCACUGUCCUCUCCAGGACGAACCACCAUGUCCAGGAGCUUCGCAAGCAUCGGAUCUCCUCCCCUCCGUAACAAAUCGAUGGGAUUCGUCACGAAUCAGUCGGGAUCUUGCUUCAUCUCCAGCUCCAGCCGUCGCCGUUCGUCGUCGAUUCCGUCGCCGUCGUUGCUUCUCCGGCCUCCCCGACCUCGGUAUCGAGCUCUACAUGAGUGCCCGCACCUAUUUCCUCUGUCUCCGCUUCCGAUUACGACCUAGAGCCUUCGAUAGCCGAUGCCAUGGUCACCACCUCGCCGCCGGUGAGCUGUUGGCCGGUCCGCCGGUCCGGCCCGGGCUUUUGCCUCGUCGAUGCGGUCCCUGAAAAGAGGACCGCCAGCCUGCUCGGUCCGGUCCGGACCGGACCGCCCAAAACAUGGACCAUGUCAUCCAGCCUGCCAUCUUGAACAUGCAUGGGCACGCUGGUGCUCUUGUCAAAGUUAAUGACCAACCCCCUCGCCGUCUCGAAGUCAUCUAGAAUGGUUUUCAUGCGCCGCACAAGUUCAGCCCGCAAGAGGAUGAUGGUGUGGUCGGCAUACUGGAGAACCAGUGUCGGCACCCAUCCACGACUGGGUACUACAUCCCCCCGUCGAGUUGGAUCAUCCGUUGGAGCACAUCCGCCAUCAAGAAGAUGUAGGGGGGAAGGGGUUCCCAUUGCCGUAGCUCCGGUUUGCAUUUAAUCCACUUCACAAGGAUGCCAUUGAGAACCACCCUAGACAUGGACGACUGAAAGAUCGAGGCCAUCCGAUCUAGUCGCACCAGAGUGGNNNNNNNNNNNNNNNNNNNNNNNNNNNNNNNNNNNNNNNNNNNNNNNNNNNNNNNNNNNNNNNNNNNNNNNNNNNNNNNNNNNNNNNNNNNNNNNNNNACUGCGUCACUUGAUGGAGUCGAAGGCCUUGGCGAAAUCCAACUUGACGACCCAGGAGGGAGCCCUCCGGUUCUCACAGCUUGAACUAUCUCUACGACAUAGACAAAGUUCUCUGAGAUGCCCCUCCCACUGAGAAAUCUGGACUCGUCCUGUUCCACCAAGCUCGAUAUUUGUUGCUGCAGACGGGUGGCAAAUGUCUUGCACGCAAUCUUAAUAUCACAUUUCUGGAGCCUUGGGCAAGAGCAUGAUGUGUGCUUUGUUAAUGUAGAGAGGUCAACACGGGAGGAGCGAAAUCCCUCCAAAAUAAUCAGAACAUUGCUCGACACACAUCGCCAAGCCGCCUGCUAGAAUGAGGGGCUGAGCCCAUACGAUCCCGGAGCAUUGGUCCCGUCAAGACCGGAAAUGGUGGCCUCGCCCUCGUCCAGCUGAAAGGCGGCGACUAGCCUAGAACUGUGCACCAUAGUAGUCCUCCCGUACAGCAGGGCCAACAGGUCGAACCGCCGGACCGGUUCUCGGGCCCUGCCUAAAAGGUCGACGUAGAAGGCGUGGAGGUCAUCCACCUUAGCAACGUGGUUGAUGACGCAUUGCCGCCAACGUCCAUGGCUUUGAUCCCGUUGGAUCUGAAGCGCUGGGACGUGUGGGCAUGGAAGAAGCAAGGCGUAACUAUGAUGGCUUGGGCUGCAAACUCAUCAAAUUUUACACAAGCAUUCUUCUUUGUAUAUACUAGACGAUGCCCCGCGCGUUGCUACGGAAAACUUGUUAAAAAAUAUAUGGAUAAAUGUUAGAAAACUAAUGUAAUGCAAAAACGGUUAUAAAAAUGUCUUGCUUAAUUACCUUGAAAAAAAUUCAUGCAUGAAGAUAUGUUUUACAUGAAGAGAUUAAUAAAAAAAUACUCCCUCCGUUUCAAAAUAUAAAACCUUUUAAGAUUACAUUAGGAGACUACAUACGGAGCAAAAUGAGUGAAUCUACAUUUUAAAAUAUGUCUAUGUACAUCCGUAUGUAGUUCAUAGUGCAAUAUCUAAAAGGUCUUAUAUUUAGGAACGGAGGGAGUAACUUAUAAUUACAUGCAUGACUUGAUGAUGUGGCCUUGUUGCAUGGAGAGGAAAACUGGAUAGUGGGUUCUAGCUAUUUAAGAAUAGAAGAAUAUAAACUACAUGCAUGACUUGUUGAUGUGACACUGUUGCAUGGAGAGGAAAAAUAAAUUCAUGUAUGAAGAUAUAUUUUGCAUGAAAAAAUAACUUAUAGCUACAUGCAUGAUUUGAUGAUGUGGCAUUGUUGCAUGGAGAGGAAAAUUAAAUAGUGGGUUCUAGCUAUUUAAGGAUAGAAGAAUAAAAACUACAUACAUGACUUGGUGAUGUGGCAUUGUUGCAUGGAGAGGAAAAUUAGGUAGUGGGUUCUAGCUAUUUAAGAAAUUUUUGCAUGAAAAAAUAACUUAUAACUACAUGCAUAAUUUGAUGAUGUGGCAUUGUUGCAUGGAGAGGAAAAUUGAAUAGUGGGCUCUAGCUAUUUAAGGAUAGAAGAAUAAAAACUACAUACAUGACUUGGUGAUGUGGCAUUGUUGCAUGGAGAGGAAAAUUGAAUAGUGGGCUCUAGCUAUUUAAGGAUAGAAGAAUAAAAACUACAUACAUGACUUGGUGAUGUGGCAUUGUUGCAUGGAGAGGAAAAUUAGGUAGUGGGUUCUAGCUAUUUAAGAAUAGAAGAUAUGUUGCACAUGAUAAUACAAAAGAUUUAUUUUUUAUAUAUGUUUACUUUUACAAAAUAUGCCAACGUUCAAAAGAAACCAUGGACAAGGGUCCUGCAGCAAUGUCUUUCGAAGAGACAGAAGCUCCAACAAAUAUCUCUACGUUGGUAGCCGGUGUUCAUCGGGUUUUUUCGUCUCCACUCCCAGCGUUCGUUUGGUCUUUUUUCUUCUCUCCUUCCACUGGUUUAUUUCCGCCUCAUCCUUUCAUUGAUUUAUUCUGCCAUCCCACCUCUUUCUGUCCUGUAGCCCUGACCCUUUCGAUCUCACCCCCUUCAUCUCUCCCCCUUGGCGACGGCGGCGGCAAUACAUUAGAUCCGUCCCCGCGUGAAAAUGGUCGCCGCGCCGGUGGCGUCCCCCUUCCCCAUGCUCCCCUCGCCCUCCUUCCCCCUCAGCAUGUCACGCGUCGUCUCUCACUGCUCCUCAAUUUCGAUGCGGCGAAGGAUGUCGGGGGGAUGGGGUUCGAGGCCAUCCGACGGCGCAACCGCAUGCUGCCCUUCAUCCUGGGGCGGAGACAGGUCAUGUUCGGCAUCACCAACACCUCUAUUUGGCCUAUCUGAGUGCAGGCUGUAGCAGAGGGCACCCUUUGCCUCCGUCAAGGAAAUCCUCCACUUCUAUGUCAAUUUCUUAUAAGGAGUCCCCUUCUAUGUCAUUGUUUCUCUAUCCGUGCAACCCCCAUGAUCAUGAGAUCUCCCGCCUGUGACCCAUGUUGCAAAGGCAAAAUUGAUGGUAUGCUAUUGUACCUCCUUCCCUCUCCUCUCUAUCUCAAAUGCUUAUGUUGUGAUUUUUUUUUUUGAAUUUUGUUCUUCAGCCACGAUCUUGCAUAUAAGUGUCUUGAUUGUAAGUACAAGUGCAUGUUACUUAGUAGAUGUUCAGAUUUUAUUUGAGAAUGAUUGUUUAUGGGAUUGUGUCUUCAUCUGACAACCCAUUUCCUCUUUCAUCACAGCCGAGGUUAAUUUUCAACUUUCUGACCUGCUGACGGGGUCGGUUCCUGUGCACAGGCAAGGAGUGUGGCGUGGACAUCAUGGGAAGCAAAGGAAUCAAGAUAUGCCCUGGGUGUGGGGUCAUCAGAUGGUAUUCUGUUGAAUCUUUUGCGCAGGUGAGUUCGUACUACAUGUCAGUACUGCAAAAAAGUUAUACUUGUCUCCUGUGUUAUUUUCAUGUUCCUAUGUUUACUUCCAGGUGACUUCAUAUGUUUAUAUGUUUUUCUCCUCUCCUGCGUAUAUACAGAAGUGGUUCUAGAGUUUAUAUUCUGGAUGGAACAAUGCCAAGGAGCUUAUUCCUACAACCCACAUGCAAGCAAAGCAUGCAUGUCGCUCGCCACGUGGCCUGAUUAGCGAUUCACCACUGAUACACAUAGUAUACUUGUUAGUCAUAUAUGUGUACCGUAGAUUCUUGAUUAUAGUUGGUUAAUAUAUUAAUAGAUUCUUAUUUGGUCAAUCAUUUCCCGUGAUGUUACCGAUGAAAAGAAAAUUACUUGCUGGAAUAAUUAAUAUCGUGGUAGUGGUCUUGCAAUCAAAACAAAGAUUUUCUUUUAGCAAGUAUAGGAUUGUCUUCUCCAUGAACAAAUGCGAGCACCUGGUAAUUUUGUUUAGCACUAUUUUACUUAUUUUUUUAGCAUGGAAGCUUCCGACAAAAGAUGGCGAGCACGAGCAUGUGUUUUUCCCUUGUGCGAAUUGCCAACAGAGAUGACCAACUGGUGUCGGGAGGUCAUUCUUGCUUGAUUUGGGCACUGAUGGUUUUCACAUCUUCACAUCGAAACCAUCAACGAUGAUGAUCCAGUGAACUCAGCUACAUCGGGUUGAGUUAAGUGCCUUUUCCCCUUGUGUGAGUUGUUAACAGAGAUGACCAGGUGGUAUUGGGUGGUCAUCACUACUAGAAAAAAGCUGCUAGUGGCGCACCUAUUUUGGCUAUUAAUGGCAUACUAUAGGUGCGUCAUUAUUAUCACGCCACUACUAAUAAAUAGUAAUGACGCAUCCCUGGUGCACCACUGUUAAUAUACAUAAUAGUGACGCACCACCUUGUGAGCCAUUACUAUCCCAGACACUAAUGGCGCACCACCUGGUGCGCCAUUACUAUCCCGAGACACUAAUGGCGCACCACCUGGUGCGUCACUAAAGUGCAAUUUGGUGCGCCACUACUAUGAAUAUUAGGAUUAUUUUUUUUGCUUUUCUGAUAUUUGCACAGGUUACAAAAUACAUUAUAGCACAGAAUAUAAACAACAAAACAUAUAAACAACAGAUUUAUCGAAUACAAUAGAAGAUUAGUAUCGGAAUACAAUUCAUCAUAUUAGUCUCCAAAUUCAAAAUAACGAACGAAGUUAGAAAAUUACAAGUCUCGAGACCGCGAGUAGCGAGUUUGUUUUCACAUUACAAGUCGAUAUCUAAACUACCAUCACAUAGAAGAGGGUUGCGGUCAUGAUGAGCAUCAUCGCGAUGAAACUGAUCUUCAUCCGGUUCCUCCUCUGCUCCCUCCUCUCUCCCGCUAGAUAGUGCGCGUAUCUAGCUUCCGCCUCCGCCCUAGUGGUGUACCCUUUGUAACCGUUACCACUGAAACGGUGAACCUGUCUCCGACACUCCUCCCAGUCUUCGUAGACUCCGGGAACCUCACUCUUGUACACGACAUACGACGGCAUCUCUGUGCACUAGACAAACAAAACGUUAGUAGCAAUUCACAGAUAAUAUAUAAGCAAAAGGAUCGGAAAAGAAAAGCAACACAUUAAUAGCACGAUUCAUGGUCCUACUAAUAAAUAGCAUCGACUACACAUAUAAGUUGAACGACUGUCCAAACUAAAGAGACAUACAAGUUCAUUAAAGUUUAAUUACAACAUAGCAUCAGUACUUUCGACUUGACUCAAGGACCGGAGCGUGGAUGAAGGCGUCGUCUUUCGUGAUGGUCAUGAAUGUGCGGUCGUUGUCAGCCUGCAUUUGUAGCGUUGUGUCAAUUUCACUGUUGGACGGUUGACAGUUUAGGUAGAACUGCCCCGAUCUAGGAAGGACAUCUUGAUAGAUGAUUUCCGCCAACUACGACUGGAUGCGAAAGAAUUAUUGUCUGAUGUCCUCAUCCUGGAUUGCCGACAAGCGUGCGGCCCAUUCUUUGAGAUCAUUUGGUAGCAUACAGUGAUGUUGGUCCCGUACGAUCGCCCGCAUGUGAUGCAGGGCGUAGCAGGCAUCCUUCUGACUGCCAGGUGGCUGCUUGACGCAGGGGAACGUCGUUACGUGGGUGAACACGUGCUUGCCAUACCUAAGAAUUGGCCUCCUGAAGGUGCCUCCAGAUUUGGCGUAGCCGGGGAGGACAUCAUCAAGAACUUUCUUGAUAUCUGUGUAGUGUUUCUUCGACUGACGGUCUGAGUUGAAAUACGUGGCCAUGGAAUAUUUCGGGCUUAAGAGGAUGAGUGUGCAAUGUGUGUCACUGCACAAAACACCGAAUGUUAGAGAAAAAAAAGAACGAUCAAAAUCUCAGAAAUCAUAUGUUACGGGGCGAUGAGGGGAUGACUUACUCAGAAAAGUAAGGCACGAGGAAGUUAUCCUUAUCUGCGUUCACCAGAAUGAUGCCUUCGAGGUAUGAACGCAGAUAAGUCGGUACCAUCGGCCUACCCGCCACAUGCACCCUCCUCUCAAUAUCCUUAGAUAUUGGUGGCCCGUCCUGAGCACGGAUCGUACUCGGUGUCGGCUGGCUCGCACCCUUGUUAGUUUUUCUUUUCUGUCCCUUAUGCUUCUUCUGCUGUAAUGGGAUCGAGUUCUGCUCAGAGACCACCUUCUUGAGUGUGUUGGGGCUGAUAAUAUUUUGCACCUCGGCUAUUUGAGUCUCGGUGAAGGCGGGAUUUGGAGGCGUCUCCUGAGAACUGAAUAGACGAUGCCUGUUGAAAUUGGGUUUCUCCGCGGUACCAACUAGAUCGUGAUAUGUCUCCGUCGUAUCUACUUUUCCGAACUCUUUUGCCUUUGUUUUGGACUCUAACUUGCAUGAUUUGAAUGGAACUAACCCGGACUACCGUUGUUUUCAGCAGAAUUGUCAUGAUGUUGUUUUUGUGCAGAAAUAAAAGCUCUCGGAAUGUCCUGAAAAUUUACGGAGAUUUUUUCUGGAAUAAAAGAAAAAUACCUGCGCAAAGAUCCACCGGAGGGGGCGUGCGAGUGGGCCACAAGCCCACAGGCCGCGGCCACCCCCCUAGGUCGCGCCGUGAGGGCUUGUGGGGCACACGUGGCACCACCGACCCCAAACUCAGCUCUAUUUAUUUCGUCUCGCCCGGAAAAAAUCAGAGAGAAGGUUUCAUCGCGUUUUACGAUACGGAGGCUCCGCCACCUCGUGUUCUUCAUCUGGAGGGCAGAUGUGGAGUCCGUUCUGGGCUCCGGAGAGGGGAAAUCGUCGCCAUCGUCAUCAUCAACCUUCCUCCAUGGAAAAUUCCAUGAUGCUCUUCACCGUUCGUGAGUAAUCUCAUCGUAGGCUUGUUGGACAGUGAUGAGUUGGAUGAGAUCUAUCAUGUAAUCGAGUUAGUUUUGAUGGGGAUUGAUCCCUAGUAUCCACUAUGUUCUAGAUUGAUGUUGCUACUACUUGACUAUGCUUAAUGCUUGUCACUAGGGCCCGAGUGCCAUGAUGUCAGAUCUGAACCUAUUAUGUUAUCGCCACUAUAUAUGUGUUUUAGAUCCUAUCUGGCAAGUUGUAGUCACCUACUAUGUGUUAUGACCCGGCAACCCCGUAGUGACAAUAGCCGGAACUACUCCCGGAGAUGACCAUAGUAUGAGGAGUCAUGUAUUCACCACGUGUUAAUGUGUUGGUGCGGUUCUUUAUUAAAAGGAGAACCUUAAUAUCCCGUAGUUUCUAUUAGGACCCCACUGCCACGGGAGGGAUGGACAAUAGAUGUCAUGCAAGUUCUUUUCCCUAAGCACGUAUGACUACAUAUGGAAUACAUGCCUACAUUAGAUUGAGGAACGUGAGCUAGUUACUUAUCUCUCUGUGUUAUAGCUGUUACAUGAUGAAUCACAUCCGUCAUACCCAUCCAUCACCGAUCCACUGCCUACGAGUAUUUUACUACUGGUCCUUACUACGUUACUUUGUCUAGGCUUGUCCCUUGCUACAAAAGGGAUUGGGCCACUUUGCUGCUACUACUGUUGCUAUUGUUGUUACUCUGCUGCUACAACUGUUCCUUGCUACUUCCCUGUUACUUGUUGCAAGACCUUUUUCGACACCGUUGACGGGAAAGAAUAGGUCCUCGCCCACGUGCAACACUGGCGCCAUUAAUACAACAGUUAGGAAUAGUCUGCCAUCAACAAUUCUUUUUCUGACACCGUUGCUAUCAUACUACUUUGCUACUGAUACUUUGCUUGCAGACACUAAUCUUUCAGGUGUGGUUGAAUCAUACAAACUCAGCUGCUAAUACUUGAGAAUAUUAUUUUGCUUCCCCUUUGGCGAAUUAACUAAUUUGGGUCGAAUACUCUACCCUCAAAAACUGUUUUGAUCCCCUAUACUCGAGGGUCAUCAAGACCUUUUUCUGGUUCCGUUGCCGGGGAAGCACAACUAUAUUCUCUGAGUCACUUGGGAUUGACGUCUGCUGAUCACUAUGAGGAAUCUGAAAGAUCCAAGAACUAAAAUCUUGCCUUCCACUACGAGGAGAGGUAAGGAACUGCCAUCUAGCUCUGCACUUGAUUCACCUUCAGUUUUGAGUAAGUUUGCGACAUCGCCUCCUGCUAGAUAUCUUGAUAUGUCGCCUGUGCUUGAUGAUGCUACUUCUGCUGCCCAUGAUGCUUAUGAUGAUACUAUGUCUGAUGAUGAUAUGCCUCAUACUGCUUUGCCUUAUGAUGCUACUACUGCUUUGCCUGAUGAUGCUAUGCCUGAUACUGCUUUCCCACUAGGUGCAUUCCUUGAUGCACAACUUGCUAGAGUUGCUGCUAGACAUGAUGAUACUUCUGAAACUAUUGAUACUAUUGAAGUAGAACCUGUUACUAUGUCUGAAUUGUCUGUUAUGCCUGAACGCUAUGUUAUGGAGGGAGAGAUAGCCGAGGAUUUUCUUGCGUGUAAGGAUACCUAUGAUGUUGAGAAACUACUGCGUAAGUGGAAAGAAAAAUCUUUGAACGCUAGGAUGAAAUACGACCCGAAGUUUGCUACUUCGCCUAUCUUUGUGACCGAUAAGGAUUAUGAAUUCUCUGUCGACCCUGAGUUAAUCACUCUGGUCGAAUCUGAUCCUUUUCACGGUUAUGAGUCUGAAAUGGUUGUAGCCCAUCUUACCAAACUGCACGAUAUAGCCACCCUAUUCACUAGUGAAGAAAAGAUCCGCCACUACUAUAUCCUCAAGCUGUUUCCUUUCUCGCUAAAGGAUGAUGCUAAGAUGUGGUUCACUUCUCUUGCUCCUGGUUGUGUGCAUAGCCCCCAGGAUAUGGUCUACUACUUCUGUGAAAAAUAUUUCCCUGCCCAUAAGAAGCAAGCUGCCUUGCGGGAAAUAUACAACUUUGCUCAAGCUGAAGAAGAGAGUCUCCCACAAACUUGGGGGAGGCUCAUCCAGCUACUGAAUGCUUUGCCUGAUAACCCUCUUGAGAAGAAUGAAAUACUUGAUAUCUUCUAUAAUGGGCUUACUAAUGCUUCCAAAGACCACCUAGAUAGUUGUGAUGGUUGUGUUUUUAGGGAACGAACUGUAGAACAAGCUGAGAUUCUACUGAAUAACAUCUUGUGCAAUGAGAAUGCUUGGACUAUUCCCGAACCACCUCCUAAGCCAACUCCGAAGAAAAGAGGUAUUCUAUUCCUCAGUCUUGAAGAUAUGCAAGAAGCCAAGAAAUCUAUGCGAGAGAAAGGCAUUCAAUCUGAAGAUGUCAAAAAUCUACCACCUAUCGAAGAGAUCCAUGGUCUCGAUAACCCGAUACAGGUAGUAGAAGUAAAUUCUUUGCGUAGGUUUGAUGAGAGUGAUAUUCCUUUUGAUAAACCUGCUAGAUUAUGCAUGGAUGAAUUUGAUAACUUUGUUUCCAAACAACAGAGUUUCAAUGAUUAUGUUAGCAGACAAUUGGAACAUAAUGCUCGUAUGCUUAGUCAUUUAAGUGCUUGUGUGGACAGAAAUGUCAAUGAUAUUAAGCUUCUAAGUAAACAUGCCUCUAUGGUUACUACUCAAGUAGAACAAGUACUUAAAGCUCAAAAUUACUUGCUCAAUGAGUUGAAUGACAAUUCUGUCAGAGUCGUUACUAGAGGCGGUAGAAUGACCCAGGAACCUUUGUAUCCUGAGGGUCAUUCGAAGAGAGUUGAACAAGAUUCUCAAGGAGUUAGCACUGAUGCACCCAGUCAUCCUAGAAAGAAGAAGAAAGAUGAUAGGUACAUGCCUGUUGCUGCUACCCCUGAGAGUCCAAACGAUGCCUCUGUCUCUGAUGCUGAAACACAAUCUCGUGAUGAACAUGAGCCUAGUGAUAAUAUCAAUAGUGAUGUUCAUGAUGAUGCUCAACCUAGCAAUGAUAAGGAUGUGGAGAUUGAGCCUGCUGAUCUUGAUAACCCACAGCCUAAGAAUAUAAGAUACGAUAAGAAUGACUUCGCUGCUAGGAAGCACGGUAAAGAAAGGGAACCAUGGGUUCAGAAACCCAUGCCCUUUCCUCCCAAACCAUCCAAGAAAAAGGAUGAUGAGGAUUUUGAGCGAUUCGUCGAAAUGAUCAGACCUGUCUUUAUACAAAUGCGUCUGAUAGAUAUGCUCAAAAUGUCUCCGUAUGCUAAGUACAUGAAAGAUAUUGUGACUAAUAAGAGGAGGAUACCUGAGGUUGAGAUUUCCACCAUGCUUGCUAAUUAUACCUUCAAGGGUGGAACUCCUAAGAAACUAGGUGAUCCCGGUGUGCCCACUAUACCUUGCUCCAUUAAAGGUAACUACAUUACAACUGCGUUAUGCGACCUUGGAGCCAGUGUUAGUGUUAUGGCUCUCUCUCUUUAUUGUAGACUUGAACUGGAUAAGUUGACACCCGCUGAAAUCUCUCUGCAAAUUGUCGACAAAUCAACUGCUUUCCCUAUCGGCAUUUGCGAGGAUGUGCCUGUUGUGGUUGCUAAUGUCACUAUCUUAACAGACUUUGUUAUCUUGGAUAUUCCCGAGGACGAUGCCAUGGCGGUCAUCCUCGGAAGACCCUUUUUAAACACUGCAGGGGCUGUUAUAGAUUGCAACAAAGGCAAUGUCACUUUCCAUGUCAAGGGUAAUGAGCAUACGGUGCACUUUCCGAAGAAACAAUAUCGAGUACAUUGUAUCAAUGCUAUCAAAAAACUUCAUCGAUUCUUAUUGGGAGCUUUGAAUGCCCUAUACCUCGUGUCAAGAUGAAGUACGAUUUGCUUGUCGGGGAAAUACACAUCCCCAUUGAGGUAACCUAGUGACUAUUCAAAAAUUCUCCAUUCUCUUUUGCGAUUCGAAAAGGUUUGUCAAAGAGGCUUGAUCAACCUCACUGACGGAUUUCUUUCGAUGACCAUGAGAUGGAUGAAUCGAGGAGUCACAAACCUUUGUUCCGAGCUUUCACUUUAGGUUGCUUAGAAGAAAAAUGAUAGGUUUAGUUUAGUUUUCCCUGUUUUCUGUUUUAGCGUCCGGUAGAAUAGUACCCCGAAAAUAAAAGUUCUCCGAACGUCCUGAAAAUCAAGUAUGAUUUGUUCUGGAUUUUUUGAAAAAUUCUGAGACAAAGAGCUUGUCUGGGGGCCACACCAGUGGGCCACAAGCCCUUGGGGCGCGGGCACCCCCUGGCCGCGACACCCAGGCUUGUGGGGCUCACAUGCGCCCCCUCCACUCAUUCUUGCUCUCAUAUGGUUCUCCUACCUCUAGAAAAAAUCGUUUCGCAGCUCAAACCCGUAUUCUUGCUCCUCUUGCUGGGAUUUUCGAUCUCUUUGCUCAAAUCACCGUUCUCCGAACUAUUUUGGGGAAAUUACUCCUUGGUAAGUGACUCCUCCAUUGGUCCAAUUAGUUUUUUGCUCUAGUGCCUUAUACUCCGCGUAUUUUUGCUGGCUUGGUGACCAUGUUCUUGAGCUUUGCAUGCUGAUUUUAGCUGGUCCCAAGUAGUUUUGAUGCGUAAUAUGGCCUCUAGGCACUUGAGGGAGUAGUUGCUAUGAGUUUCGUUGAGCCUUGUUCACUCUUCCUUAGAAUCACUAAAAAUUUCAGAAGUUUUCAUAGAUAGAAAAGGGAAAAGAUGAGGAGGUUCUUAAGAGGCUCUUCAAGCCGUGACCCCAAGGAUGAUGGGACUAAGAAGAAGCCCAAGUAUCUAGUCCCUCGAGUCGCAGAAUUUCGAACGUGCGAGUGGCCAAGCGACGUGUUGUUACGUGCCGCUGGAAUUUAUGAGGACUUUUAUCACUUGGUCGAAAACGCAGGCCUUACCGCCUUCUUUGAAGAUAAGUGUCCGCAAUACAUCCUCCUCACUAAUAUCUUUGUACAAAGUUUUAACUUCUAUCCAAGGAAGAAUCCUCCUAUGGUUGAGUUCAAACUUUAUGAUAGCCCCCAGCGCAUGUCACUCCAAGAUUUUUGCAAUGUUUGCAAAUUACCUUACGUUGGGGAUAUUCAUGAACCUCGUCCACGGGACUUGGAAGCUUUCAUCGGUACAAUUGCUGUAGGAGAGGAGAGAGAAGUGUCUUGCACUAGAGCUGCUAGCAUUCAUUUUACCGUGCUUCGGUACUUCUCAUUAUUUGUGGGAAAAUGUUUGAUUGGCCAUGGGAAAGCUGGGUCACUUAGUUCCCCAGAUCUUGCGGUCUUGCGCGAAGCCAUAUAUAACGAUAAAACGUAUAGCUUGGGCGCUAUAGUAGCUCAACGGUUGAACCUGAACCGUUCUAAAGGUGUUGUCUAUGGAGGUAUCUAUGCUACCCAUCUUGCCAGACACUUUGAGAUGCACAGUAGACUGGAGGAGGAAGAAGAGGUUCUUUUUCCUGAGAGAUAUCUAGAUUACGAUAGCAUGGUUCGCCAUGACUUUCUUGAUAGAGAUAUAAAUAGAAUGAUGAUUUAUAACCUGGUAUUUAGUCAGGGUACUCAUGAGACUAUUACUUUGCCUCCUCCUUCUUUGUUCAAUCUUCAUGCAAGCAGGUACAUUAUUAUGCCCUCGGACAUCUACGCAUAUUGGGGCUUAGCCCAACCACACGUGCCCGUGCCCGAGCCACCAGUCGAGUACCAAACGCCGGUUUAUCAGUGGGAACCAGAGGAGCUCACACAGCAGUGGCAUCCUCAGUCCACUUCGGAGUAUCCCGGAGCUGGUUAUUCCCUCCUUGGGAGUAGACCAACUUAGGCCAAAAGCCUAAGCAUGGGGGAGUACGUGUUCUCACCGACUUUACAUUCUUGCUUAUGCUUUCACUUUGUUAGCCGGUGUUCACACUUUGCCAUUGUAUCAUCCAUGUUAGUUUAUUUUCUUUUUCUAGUUUUCUUUUCGUGUGUCUGUCUAGUUUGAGAAAACCCAAAAAGAUUUUCUUUUUCUUAUUUUGCUUGUUGGGAGCUUUCCCGUGUAAAUAGUUUUCUUUUUCUUUGGGUCAAGGUAGAAGAUAUUGGUUACAAUGUUUAGUGCCUCUGGCAUGCAUACCUGUUUAGCUUUCAAAGAGCCAUAUUACUUUGUCUUCUCCUUUGUGUUUGCCUAUAGAUUCCAGCUUUAGUCCAAUGCACGAGCACGCUUAUUAUUGUUCACAUCAUUCGGUGAUGCAAGUGAAAGGCAAUGAUGACGAUAUAUGAUGAAUUGACUGAGCCUGGAAAAGCUGGUAUGAACUCGAUCUAUUUUGUUUUUGUAAAUAUGACUAGCUCAUCAUGCCUGAUUCAGCUUUGUUGUGAGAGAAACAUGUUUGCAAUGUCAACUUAGAGAUCAUAGUUGCUUAUGCCAUUCUUACUUAGCUAGGAGCUUAUAAUGGUUUGUCUUGGAUGCCCGCAUGAAUGUUGAGAUGACUAUGAUGUAGUAUGAUAGGAUGGUAUCCUCCUUUGAAUGAUUCAAGUGGCUUGACUUGGCACAUGUUCACGCAUGUAGUUGAAACAAAAUCAACAUAGCCUCUAUGAUAUUCAUGUUCAUGGUAAUUUAUGUCCUACUCAUGCUUGCACUCAAUGUUAGUUAAUCUCAAUGCAUUUUGAUGACUGUUGUCGCUCUCUAGUUGGUCACUUCCCAGUCUUCUGCUAGCCUUCACUUGUACUAAGCGGGAAUACUACUUGUGCAUCCACCUCCAUAAACCCAAAGUUGUUCCAUAUGAGUCCACCAUACCUACCUAUAUGUGGUAUCUACCUGCCGUUCCAAGUAAAUUUGCAUGUGCCACUCUCUAAACCUUCAAGAAAUAUUCUGUUUUGUAUGCCCGAACCGCUCAUGCGGUGAGAGGGGGCUAUUGGUAUCUUCCAUGCUAGGCGUGUUAUCCUCGAUAUGUGUUUAUUCACUAUCAUUCACGAGAUGUUGGUAUGGACGAUACCCGAGGAUUCGACUAGCCAUGGAGUGUGAUUGAUUGGUGGUGGGGGAGUCAAAACUUUACUUUUCUGUUUGGGAACCUCCUAUAGCAUGUGUAGCAUGGAAGAUGCUGAGAACUCUUGGUAAUUGCGUUGACAAUGAAAGCAUGCCACCCAAAAUUAUUAUCUCUGUUUUCAAAGCUUGAGCUCUGGCACCUCUGCAAAUCAAUGCUUCCCUCUGCGAAGGGCCUGUCUAUUUAUGUUCCUGUUGAGUCAUCCUCCUCUUAUAAAAGCACCAAUUAGAGAGCACCUCUGUCAUUUUUAUGAUUUGCUUUUAACUGUGUUGAGUAUGACUAUGACUGGAUCUUCAUUGCCUUGAAUUACAAUGUUUAGUCAGCCCUUCGUCUUUGAAGGUGCUCUGCAUUUAUGUUUUGCGGUCUCAGAAAGAGCUAGCGAGAUACCACCUGUUCGUACUGCCUCAUGUUGUUUUGAUUGAAGUGUUGACAUUUGAGGCUUAUUAUUAUUUGCUCGCUAGCUGAUUAUGCCUUUGAUAUGAGUUUACCGUGAGAUCUAGAUGUCAUUUGCUUAUGUGGUUUUCUUGUGAUCUUGCUGAAAUUCUGGUUAUGAAUUAGACAUAGUUGCAACAACAAGAUCAAACAGAGUUCGUCAAAGUUUUUCUUUUGUCUCUCUCAGUUUGUCAACUGAGUUGCUUGAGGACAAGCAAGGCUUUAAGCUUGGGGGAGUUGAUACGUCUCCGUCGUAUUUACUUUUCCGAACUCAUUUGCCCUUGCUUUGGACACUAACUUGCAUGAUUUGAAUGGAACUAACCCGGACUAACGCUAUUUUCAGCAGAAUUGCCAUGGUGUUGUUUUUGUGCAGAAAUAAAAGAUCUCGGAAUGUCCUGAAAAUUUACGGAGAAUGUUUCUGGAAUAAAAGAAAAAUACCUGCCCAAAGAUCCACCGGAGGGGGCGUGCCAGUGGGCGACAAGCCCACAGGCCGCGGCUACCCCCUAGGUCGCGCCGUGAGGGCUUGUGGGGCCCACGUGACACCAUCGCCCCAAACUCAGCUCUAUUUAUUCCGUCUCGCCCGGAAAAAACCCAGAGAGAAGGUUUCAUUGCGUUUUACGAUACGGAGGCGCCGCUGCUACGGCAACAAAGACCAUACCCAGCAACGGUGUCAGAGGUCCUUCUGCUGCUGGCUACGCCUACAGGGACUUCCUUGGCAAAUAUGCAAAGGAUUCCCCCGCGGCCUUGGAGCCUUGCGUUGGUGUUCCCUUGAAGAGGAAAGGGUGAUGCAGCACAGAAGGAGUAAGUAUUUCCCUCAGCUUGAGAACCAAGGUAUCGAUCCAGUAGGAGGAUCGCGUCAAGUCACAAGUACGUGCACAAACACAAAGAGCUUGCACCCAACGCUAUGAAGGGGUUGUCAAUCCCUUACAGAUUGUUUGCAAAGUGAGAACUGAAAGCAAAAAGGAAACAAAGCAAAGUAAAAGUAAAAGUGGAGACGAUAGUUGUGAAUAGACACGGGGGCCGUUGUGUUCACUAGUGGCUUCUCUCAUGAAAGCAAGUAGACGAUGGGUGAACGAAUUACUGACGAGCAAUUGAUAGAACCGCGCAAAGUCAUGAAGUUAUCUAUGGCAACGAUCAUAUCUAUAGGCAUCACGUCCAAAACAAGUAGACCGAUACUUUCUGCAUCUACUACUAUUACUCCACACGUCGACCGCUAACCAGCAUGCAUCUAGUGUAUUAAGUUCAUAAGAACAGAGUAACGCCUUAAGCAAGAUGACAUGAUGUAGAUGGACAAUCUCAAAUCUAAGAUGAAAGCCCAUCUUGUUACCCUUGAUGGCAACAACACGAUGCGUGCCUUGCUGCCCCUUCUGUCACUUGGAAAGGUCACCGCACGGUAUGAACCCAAAACCAAGCACUUCUCCCAUUGCAAGAAUCAUAGAUCUAGUUGGCCAAACAAAACACAAGACUCGGAGAGACUUACAAGGACAUCAAAUCAUGCAUAUAAGAAAUCGGCAAAGACUCAAAUAUAAUUCAUAGUUAAUCUGAUCACAAAUCCACAAUUCAUCGGAUCUCGACAAACACACCGCCAAAGAGGAUUACAUCGGAUAGAUCUCCAUGAAGAUCAUGGAGAACUUUGUAUUGAAGAUCCAAGAGAGAGAAAAAGCCAUCUAGCUACUAACUACGGACCCGUAGGUCUGAAGUGGACUACUCACGAGUCAUUGGAGGGGCGAUGAUAUUGAUGUAGAAGCCCUCCAACUCCAAAGUCCCCUCCGGCAGGGCACCGGGAAGGGUCUGCAGAUGAGAUCUUGCAAAAACGGAAGCUUGCGGCGGCGAAAAAGUGUUUUCGUGGACGCCCUGAUUUUUUCUGGGAUUUUAGGGAAUUUAUAGGCCAAAGAGCUAGGGCAGGGGAGCGCCAGGGAGGCAACAAGGCUGGUCGCCGCGGCCCCCCUGGCCACGACAACAGGGCUUGUGGGCUCCCUGUGGGCCUCCUGCCUUGGCCCUCAAGUCCCCUGAUCUUCUUCUGUUCUGGAAAAUUUUAUUUCGGGGAUUUUAUUCCGUUUGGACUCCAUUCCAAAAUCAGAUCUGAAAAGAGUCAAAAACACAGAAAAAACAGGAACUGGCACUUGGCACUGAAUUAAUAAGUUAGUCCCAAAAAAGAUAUAAAAGGUAUAUAAAACAUCGAAAGUUGACAAGAUAACAGCAUGAAACUAUCAAAAAUUAUAGAUACAUUUGAGACGUAUCAAGCAUCCCCAAGCUUAACUCCUACUCGUCCUCGAGUAGGGAAGUGAUAAAGAAUGAAUUUUUGAUGCUUUCAUGCUACCUAGCAUAGAUGUCCUUUGGAACUCCUCUUACAUGACGUGAAUGUUCAGAUCCAUUAGAUUCAAAACAAUAGUUUGCUAUUGAUGUGGAGACAAUAAUACUUCAAGCAAACUAGCAAGGUAAUCAUGAACUUUCAAAAUAACAAGGCCAAAAGAAAGUUAUCCCUACAAAAUCAUAUAGUCUGGCUAUGCUCUAUCAUCCUUGCACAACAAAUUUAAAUCAUGCACAACCUCGGUAUUGGUCAAGUAAUUGUUUUCACACCUUUACUUUCUCAAACUUUUUCAACUCUCACGCAAUAGAUGAGCGUAAGCCAUGGUUUUAGCACUAUAAGUGGAAUGGAGUGUGGUGGAGGUUGCAAGGCAAACAAGGAGAAGAUGGUCACAUCGACUAGGCAUAUUAAUGAGCUAUGGAGAUGCUCAUCAAUAGAUAUCCAUGUGAAUGAGUAGGGAUUGCAAUACAAAUGAUGCACUAGAGCUAAGAGUAUAUGAAAGCUCUUAAAGAAAACUAGUGGGUGUGCAUCCAACUUGCUUGCUCACGAAGACCUAAGGCAAUUUUGAGGAAGCCUAGCAUUGGAAUAUACAAGCCAAGUUAUAUAAUGAAAAUUUCCCAGUAGCUAUAUGGUGGUGACAAAAUGAGAGACUCUCAAUCAUGAAGACCAUGGUGCUUAAUAAGCACAAGAGUGGAAAGAUAGUAGCAUUGUCCCUUCUCUCUUUUUCUCUCAUUUUUUGGUGGGCUCUUUGGCCUCUUUUUUAUUUUAUUUUAUUUUUAUUUUUAUUUUGGUGGGCAUCUUUGGCCUCUUUUUUUGUAAAUGGGCUUGGCUGGCCUCUUUUAUUUCCUCACAUGGGACAAUGCUCCAUAAAUGAUGAUCAUCACACUUACAACUCAAAACUUAGAGCAAUAAUGACUCUAUAUGGAAUGCCUUCGGUAGUGUACCGUGACAAUGAUCUAGCAUGGCAUAGACAUCAAUGGAAACAUCAUGCUAGCUAUCUUAUGAUCAUGCAAUGGCAAUGUAGAAGUGGUGGCACAUGUCAUGGUGGUGGUUGCAUGGAAAUAUAUCUCGGAAUGGCUUUGAAAAAGCCAUAGUAGGUAGGUAUGGUGGCUGUUUUGAGGGAGGCUAUAUGGUGGGUUUUGUGCACCGGCGAAAGUUGCACGGCACUAAAGAAGAUAGUGAUGGUGGAAGGUGAAAGUGCAUCUAAACCAUGGACUCAACAUUAGUCAUGAAGAACUCAUAUACUUGUUGCAAAGGUUUUAGUAGUAAUCGAAACAAAGCAUUCAACGCAUACUCCUAUGGGAAGGGUUGGUAGGUAUAAACCAUCGCGCGAUCCCGACCGCCACACAAAGGAUGACAAUCAAUAGACUAAUCAUGCUCAGACUUCAUCACAUAGCGGUUCACCAUACGUGCAUGCUACGGGAAUCACUAACUUCAACACAAGUACUUCUAGAUCCACAACACCUUACUAGUAUAACUUCAAUAUUACCACAACCACAACUCAAAACUAAUUGAGAUGAAUCAAACUUCUCUAACUAUUCAAUGCAUAUGAAGGUGGAAGUUUUCAUAUCCCUUUGGAUAACUAUCCCUUUUGAGACUACUUUCAUAGCAUAAGACAACUACCAAGCCAUGCGCCGCUGUGCUCUAAAAGAUAUAAGUGAAGCACAUAGAGCAAAAAUCAACUAGCUCAAAAGAUAUAAGUGAAGCACAUGUGAGCUGAAUUGUCUAACCAAAGGAUAUAAGUGAAGCUCGACAAAAUCACGGUGAGUGCAUGUCUCUCUCUCUAGGUGUGCACCAAGGAAGAUUGUGACACAACAAAAAUAAAAGACUCCUACGAUACAAGACGCUCCAAGCAAAACACAUAAGAUGUGGUGAAUAAAAAUAUAGCCCCAAGUAACAUUACCGAUGGAUUGAAGACGAAAGAGGGGAUGCCUUCCCGGGGCAUCCCCAAGCUUAGGCUUUUACGACAUCCUUGAAUCAACUUGGGGUGCCUUGGGCAUCGCCAAGUUUGAGCUCUUGCCACUCUUUAUCUCUUUGUCCAUAAGAACUUCACCCAAAACUUGAAAACUUCACAACACAAAACUUAAACAGAAACUCGUGAUAACAUUAGUAUAAGAAAGCAAACCACCACUUCCUUAGGUACUGUAGCAAACUUAAAUUCCACUUAUGUUGAUGUUGGGUUACUGUAUUUUCAAUCUUCCAUGGCUAAUACCCCCGAUACUAUCCAUAAUUUCAUCAGAAUAAGCAACCAACUCAACAAAAACAGAAUCUGUUAACAACAUACCAGUCUAUAGCAAUCUGUAUACUUCGUAUACUUCUGUUACUUCAAAAAUUAUGAAAAAUUACGGCAGUCUGAAGAAUUUGUGUAGCAAUCAGCAGAAAAAAGAAUCAACUCAAAAUAUCUUACAUAAAAAAAUGAAAAUUCUUUUCGUGAGCCGAAAGUUUCUGUCUUUUCCAGCAUGACCAAACGAUCAUCCCCAAGACUAAUCAUAACGGUUUUACUUGUCACAAACGCAAAAGAAACACAAAAAACACAAUCAUAACAGAAUUAUGAAAUUCUGGAAAACACAAAACAGAAAGAAAAAUGAUAGAUUCGUUGGUUUGCCUCCCAACAAGCGCUAUUGUUUAACGCCCUUAGCUAGGCAUAAGGCGAUGGAAUCACGUAUAGUCAUCUUUGGUGCUCAAACCAUAAGUAGCCCUCAUCAUAGAUUCAUAAGGCAAUCUUAUUUUCUUUCUAGGAAAAUGCUCCAUGCUCUUCUAUAGAGGAUAUUGAAAUCUAAUAUUCCCUUCCUUCAUAUCGAUGAUAGCACCAAUAGUCCUUAGGAAAGGUCUACCAAGAAUAAUGGGACAUAAAGGAUUGCAAUCUAUGUCAAGUACAAUGAAAUUCAGGGGUACAUAGUUCUUAUUUGCAACAAUAAGAACAUCAUUGAUCCUUCCCAUGGGUUUCUUGACAGUAGAAUCUGCAAGAUGCAAAUUAAGAGAACACUCUUCAAUCUCAUGAAAACCAAGAAUAUCACAUUAAGACUUUGGAAUCGCGGAAACACUAGCACCCAAAUCACACAAAGCAUUGCAUUCAUAGUUUUUGAUUUUGGUUUUGUUAGUAGGUUCCCACUCAUCAUGAAGUUUUCUAGGUAUAGAGACUUCGUCAUGAAGAUCCAAGAGAGAGAAGAAGCCAUCUAGCUACUAACUACGGACCCGUAGGUCUGAAGUGGACUACUCAUGAGUCAUUGGAGGGGCGAUGAUGUUGAUGUAGAAGCCCUCCAGCUCCAAAGUCCCCUCCGACAGGGCACCGGGAAGGGUCUCCAGAUGAGAUCUCGCAGAAACGGAAACUUGCAGUGGCGAAAAAGUGUUUUCGUGGAUGCCCUGAUUUUUCUGGGAUUUUAGGGAAUUUAUAGGCCAAAGAGCUAGGGCAGGGGAGCGCCAGCGAGGCCACAAGCCUAGUCCCGCGCCCCCUGGCCGCGGCAAGAGGGCUUGUGGGCUCCCUAUGGGCCUCGUGCCUUGGCCCCCAAGUCCCUCGAUCUUCUUCUGUUCUGGAAAAAAAUAUUUCGGGGAUUUUAUUCGGUUUGGACUCCGUUUCAAAAUCAGAUCUGAAAAAGAGUCAAAAACACACAAAAAACAGGAGCUCACACUUGGGACUGAAUUAAUAAGUUAGUCCCAAAAAAGAUAUAAAAGGUAUAUAAAACAUCCAAAGUUGACAAGAUAACAACAUGAAACUAUCAAAAAUUAUAGAUACGUUUGAGACGUAUCAGCCGCCACCUCUUGUUCUUCAUCUGGAGGGCAGAUCUGGAGUCCGUUCUGGGCUCCGGAGAGGGGAAAUCGUCGCCAUCGUCAUCAUCAACCUUCCUCCAUCGACAAUUCCAUGAUGCUCUUCACCGUUUGUGAGUAAUCUCAUCGGCUUGCUGGGCGAUGGUGAGUUGGAUGAGAUCUAUCAUGUAAUCGAGUUAGUUUUGACGGGGAUUGAUCCCUAGUAUCCACUAUGUUCUAGAUUGAUGUUGCUACUACUUGGCUAUGCUUAAUGCUUGUCACUAGGGCCCGAGUGCCAUGAUUUCAGAUCUGAGCCUAUUAUGUUAUCGCCAAUAUAUGUGUGUUUUAGAUCCUAUCUUGCAAGUUGUAGUCACCUACUAUGUGUUAUGACCCGGCAACCCCGGAGUGACAAUAGCCGGAACCACUCCCGGAGAUGACCAUAGUAUGAGGAGGUCAUGUAUUCACCACGUGUUAAUGCGUUGGUCCAGUUCUUUAUUAAAAGGAGAACCUUAAUAUCCCGUAGUUUCCAUUAGGACCCCACUGCCACGGGAGGGAUGGACAAUAGAUGUCAUGCAAGUACUUUUCCCUAAGCACGUAUGACUACAUACGGAAUACAUGCCUACAUUAGAUUGACGAACGGGAGCUAGUUACUUAUCUCUCCAUGUUAUAGCUAUUACAUGAUGAAUCACAUCCGUCAUACUCAUCCAUCACCGAUCCACUGCCUACGAGUCUUUUACUACUGGUCCUUGCUAUGUUACUUUGUCCAGGCUUGUCCCUUGCUACAAAAGGGAUUGGGCCACUUUGCUGCUACUAGUGUUGCUACUGCUGUUACUCUGCUGCUACUGUUGUUCCUUGCUACUUUGUUGUUACUUGUUGCAAGACCUUUUUCGACACCGUCGUCAGGAAAGAAUAGUUCCUCGCCCACGUGGAACACUGGCGCCAUUGAUACUAUAGUUAGGAAUAGUCUGCCAUCAACAGUUCUAUUUUUGACACUGUUGCUAUCAUACUACUUUGCUACUGAUACUUUUCUUGCAGACACUAAUCUUUCAGGUGUGGUUGAAUCUGACAAACUCAGCUGCUAAUACUUGAGAAUAUUCUCUCGCUUCCCCUUUGGCGAAUCAACAAAUUUGGGUCGAAUACUCUACCCUCGAAAACUGUUGCGAUCCCCUAUACUUGUGGGUCAUCAGAUCGCCAUCGUCUUUUGCAGGGUUGGGUUCUUGAGAAGGAGGCCCAAACAAUUCGUCACCAUACCCAUGUUCGUUGAUGUACUUAUCAAUGUUGAAACUUGUAUCGUCGUCGUCGUCUGGAUCCUGUGCCAUAUGCAUGUUCGGAUCAGCUGACUGCCGUAGCGUUGCGGCGGUCUUGCCAUGGCUUGGCGCCGACACGACUAGCGGUGUUGUCUUUGGGGUGGUGUCCCCCGCCCCCAAACGAAUCUGGCUCUUCGGCCAAAGCAUGGACCGGUUUAAGCAGGCGCUGAGGGUCAUCACAUCAUCUUCGUCGGCCCCAGCGGGUCGAUACGGAGGUAACAAGUCGUCGUAGCCCCGUAGCACCCGAACCAGUUAAACCCUAUACACGGUGGGUGUCAUCGGAUUACCGUGGAACACACGGUUGCCCGGUUCAAUGAUUUUGGCCUUGGCGACAUCGAUCAACUCGCUGUCCAUGAAGUGCAGGAGAGUGCAUGGAACAUUGGCGGCACCCUGUGAAAACAUGUAGGGCAUCAGGGAUGCCCAGUCAAAAAGGCAAGGAGAUGAAGUCAUCGGCCGAGGCUUAGUUACUGUGAUGGUGUCGAGCUCGGCUAAUGUCGAGGCACCGCCAACGGCGGGCAUGCAAGUGACGGAGGGGCCACUUGAUGCCGAGGUGCCGGUCGGUGUAUUCUUCCCACACACGGUGCAUUAACCUCCAAUACCGGCACCGACGCCGGAGGCACCUACAAUGCCGCCUCCGUCGGAGACACCGAUGCCGGCGCAUUGUGCGAGUUGCUGCCCGUGAAGCUGGGAAUCGGGGGCGGCCCCUGUUGGCCGCCCGCAAUCCACCCCUGCAGCCCCUCAAGCAAGGAAGGCAUAAUGGCGGUGAUCGUCGCUCCAAGUUGGUCUCGCACUUGCUCUUGGACUAUCUCCGGAAUCCGCGCCACUUGUGCCUUGAGUUCUUUAACCUCGUGCUCCUGGCUUUCCGAGAUGGUCUUUCUGUCCUUUCGCCCAGCCUUAUAGUAUUCCGACCAUUUCGUGGACAAGCCUUUUCGCCGGCCACACGACCAGCUGACGACGGCUUACUGAGAUUAUCCUUGUGUUUCAUUACAUUCAACGCCCUAUUUAAAGUGUUGUCCCAAGGGGCAGACGGGGAGCUCGGAGACCCUGUGCUACUGCUUUCAGUUUCCUGCGGAAGGAACGUGAACCAUUUAGAAAUUUGGCUUCAUUAAUUAGAAUGCAACCAUAUGGAGCUAACUACGCGGGGGUGUAUUCCUUACCAGAACACGCUGAUGUCUACUACGCAACCUUCUCCUUGUAGACGUUGUUGGGCCUCCAAGUGCAGAGGUUUGUAGGACAGUAGCAAUUUUCCCUCAAGUGGGUGACCGAAGGUUUAUCAAUCCGCAGGAGGCGUAGGAUGAAGAUGGUCUCUCUCAAGCAACCCUGCAACCAAAUAACAAAGAAUCUCUUGUGUCCCCAACACACCCAAUACAAUGGUAAGUUGUAUAGGUGCACUAGUUCGGCGAAGAGAUGGUGAUAGAAGUGCAAUAAGGAUGGUAGAUAUAGGUUUUUGUAAUCUGAAAUUACAAAAACAGCAAGGUAACUAGUAACAAAAGUGAGCACGAACGGUAUUGCAAUGCGUGGAAACAAGGCCUAGGGUUCAUACUUUCUCUAGUGAUGUUCUCUCAACAAUGAUAACAUAAUUGGAUCAUAUAACUAUCCCUCAACAUGCAACAAAGAGUCACUCCAAAGUCACUAAUAGCGGAGAACAAACGAAGUAUACGUGGGCAUGAUUAUACGAUAUGUAUCACACAAUCUCAGAAUCAUCUAUUCAACCAACAGAUAGAACUUCAAAGAGUGCCCCAAAGUUUCUAACGGAGAGUCAAAACGUGUGCCAACCCAUAUGCAUAGGUUCCCAAUGUCAUGAAACCCGCAAGUUGAUCACCAAAACAUACAUCGAGUACUCACAUGAAUAUCCAAAUCUGUGCCAACCCAUAUGCAUAGGUUCCCAAUGUCACAAACCCACAAGUUGAUCACCACAGAUAGACACGUGCAAGACAUACAUCAAGUGUUCUCAAAGACUCAAUCCGAUAAGAUAACUUCAAAGGGGAAACUCAAUUCAUUACAAGUAGGGAGAGGGGGAAGAACAUCAUAAGAUCCAACUAUAGUAGCAAAGCCCGCAGUACAUCGAGAUCAAGACAUCUCAAGAACACGAGAGAGAGAGAGAGAGAGAGAGAGAUCAAACACAUAGCUACUCGUACAUACCCUCACCCCGAGGGAGAACUACUCCCUCCUCGUCAUGGAGAUCGCUGGGGUGAUGAAGAUGGCCACCGGAGAUGGAUUCCCCCUCCGGCAGGGUGCCGGAACGGGCUCCAGAUUGGUUUUUGGUGGCUACAGAGGCUUGCGGUGGCGGAACUCCCGAUCUAGGUUUCGUUUUGGGGGUUUCUCUAUUUAUAGGAAUUUAUGGCGGUGGAAUUACGUCGGUUGGGCCCACGAGGAGGUCACAAGCCUGGUAGAUGUAGCCUAGGGGGGUCGCGCCUCCCGGGCUUGUGACUCCCUCGUGGCUCUUCUGGCCUUCUUCCAAACCUUCAGGGGUCUCUUUUGGUCCAAAAAAAUCAUUGCAAAGUUUUAUUCCAUUUGGACUCCGUCUAAAAAAGGGUCAAAAACACGAAAAAACAGAAACUGGCACUUGACACUGAGUUAAUAGGUUAGUCCAAAAAACAAUAUAAAAUAGCGUAUUCAUGCAUAUAAAACAUCCAAAGUUGACAAGAUAAUAGCAUGGAACCAUCAAAAAUUAUAGAUACGUUGGAGAUGUAUCACACACUCAAGCUCCUUCACCUUCGGAUGCGUGGUAAGCUCCUUUGUUACCGGGUCCACCUUGUACCGGGCCCUGACAUAGUUCAUGGUCUGCUUUUCAUGGUAUUUAUCAAAGAGGGGCGGUAGGCCUUGCUCGGCACGCUCCGCGUCCUCCUUGUCCCAUUUAGAUUCGGCCACUCUGUAACCGCCGGGACCGAGUUUGUGGACCCCUAAGUUCAAGUCCCACAUAUCUUUCCCCACUGACUUGAUUCCACGGAUGUGUUGCUCUCGCACUUGAUCGUGAACUCCAGGUAGUCAGCUUCGCUGAUCGAAGGAUUUGUCUCCUUGAUCUUCUCAUAACUAUCACCUCUUAGAAUCGUUCUCUUCACCGAGGCUCUCCAAGUAGCUAGGGUCGUGCUCAUCUUCGUGAGGGCGGCACUGUUCACGUUAUUCUCUGAGAGGCAUGUGUUUGUGACGUCAUCGGGGAACUUGUAUCAUUCAUGCAGCUUCGUGAAGAGGAGGUUGCGCAAAUUCGCUCGGCCUUGAUGCCUUAGGUUCUCGGUGUUGAUCGAGACGGUGCUCCGGAGAAUGCACCCGAGUUGUCCCGCGUACCCACCGCUAAUUCUUUGGGCGCCGUUGGAUGCCCACUGGAGGACACUUCAGUAAAUUCCUUCCUGACGGUGCCGAGCACGUUCGGGCGCCGGUCCUUCCGUUGCUUCUUCGGUUGGCUGCCAUCUGUGCGUUCGCUGCCAUCAUCAGUGGUGGCAUCCUCGGCGGCACCAUCAGUGGUGUCAUCCUCGACGCCUAGGGGUUGUGUAGUCGGGAUCGGUGUCUUCCGCGGUGUCCUCAUAGUGGUGAGGUUCUUCCUCCAGCUCCUGGGACAGCUCCCAUAAUGGCUUGCCCGAACCGCCGGCCUCAUCGUUGUUGGCCAUGUUCGCUCUAAAUAGGAAAAAAGGCUACUAGAGUUAUUGGAUGAAAUCAGGGUAGUAUCUAUUCUUCUCAGAUUUAGAGUAGCUCCUUAUUUCAUCUAUGGAGUAUUAAGUAAGUACUUGCAUCACAUAUAUAUAACCCCAAUAAAAUGAAACUAUGUUCCCUGCACACAUGAGGUAUGGCUGACAGGGAAAAAUCAAGUAAAGGCGUAUUAAUUUGUGUAUGCAUAACCGUGCAUAUCAACAAGGGAUUGUAUAGGCUUGAGAAAAUCUUACUUUAUCCUUAAAUCAUAUUGAUUAAUGGGCAGAAAAAUCAUAUUGAUUAAUGGGCAUAAAAAUCAUAUUGAUUAAUAAUUAUCUUGCCUCAAAAUGCGAUUUUUCUUUCCUUGGAAGGUACCGUAGAUCUGUAAAAAUGUAAUCAUGUGACUGCACUACUUGAACUACCUCAUGCUCGUCACUGUAUCUGUAGAUGCUUUAAUUCGAUGGUUAAUUUGUAUCGAAAGGUCACAAUUACACUUUCAUGGCCUUGUCCCUGGGCUCAUUCUUGUAUUUUAAAUCAGCAUUCUAUUACUAGGAGUCUAGUAGUGCAUGUAAUUCAAUCAUGCCUGAUACGUCUCCAACGUAUCUAUAAUUUUUUAUAGUUCCAUGCUAUUAUCUUGUCAAACUUUGGAUGUUUUGUAUGCCUUUUAUAUCUUUUUUGGGACUAACUUAUUAACUCAGUCCCAAGUGCCAGUUCCUGUUUUUUCCGUGUUUAUGACCCUUUUCAGAGGAGGAUUUUAAAUGGUGUCCAAACGGAAUAAAACUUCCGAAAAGAUUUUUUCCGGAACAGAAGAUAUGCAUGGGACGUGAGAACCAAGGUAGAGGCCACCAGGUGAGGCCACAAGCCCCCUAGGCGCGGCCAGGGGGCCCGAGCCUAGCAGGCUUGUGGGCCCCUGUGGCUCCUCUGCCCCACCCCUUCCGCCUAUAAAUUCCUUAAAAAUCCAAAACUACGCUCGUCUGCCCUACCUCUUCCGCCUAUAAAUUCCUUAAAAAUCCAAAACUACGAGAGAGAUCCACGAAAAUACUUUUCCGCCGCCGCAAGCUUCUGUCUCCGCAAGAUCCCAUCUGGGGCACGUUCUAGUGCCCUAUCGGAGGGGGGAUUCAGAUACGGAGGGCUUCUUCAUCAACACCAUGACCUCUCCGAUGAUGUGUGAGUAGUUCACCAUAGACCUUCGGGUCCAUAGCUAGUAGCUAGAUGGCUUCUUCUGUCUCUUGGAUCUUCAAUACAAAGUUCUCCAUGAUCUUCAUGGAGAUCUAUCCGAUGUAAUCUUCUUUUGCGGUGUGUUUGUCAAGAUCCGAUGAAUUGUGGAUUUAUGAUCAGAUUAUCUAUGAAUCUUAUUUGAGUUUCUUCUGAUCUCUUAUAUGCAUGAUUUCAUAUCCUUGUAAGUAUCUUUGAGUUGUGGGUUUUGUUUGGCCAACUUGAUCUAUGAUUCUUGCAAUGGGAGAAGUGCUUGGUUUUGGGUUCAUACCAUGCGGUGACCUCACCCAGUGAUAGAAGGGGUAGCGAUGCAUGCAUCAUGUUGUUGCCAUCAAGGGUAAAAACAUGGGGUUUACAUCAUUGGUAUGAGUUUAUCCCUCUACAUCAUGUCAUCUUGCUUAAGGCGUUACUCUGUUCGUCAUGAACUCAAUACACUAGAUGCAUGUUGGAUAGCGAUCGAUGUGUGGAGUAAUAGUAGUAGAUGCAGAAAGUAUCGGUCUACUUGUCUCGGACGUGAUGCCUAUAUGUAAGAUCAUUGUCUUAGAUAUCGUCAUGACUUUACGCGGUUCUAUCAAUUGCUCGACAGUAAUUUGUUCACCCACCGUAAUAUUUGCUAUUUUAAGAGAAGCCUCUAGUGAACACUAUGGCCCCCGGGUCUACUUCACAUCAUAUUUUCAGGCUUACACUUUUUCUUCGUUGCACUUUCUGCCUUCAGAUCUCACUUUGCAAUCAAUCUUGAAGUGAUUAACAACCCCUUUAUAGCAUUGGGUGCAAGCUCGUUUGUGUUUGCGCAGGUACUCUGGACACUCGGCUUGAUUCUCCUACUGGAUUGAUACCUUGGUUCUCAAAACUGAGGGAAAUACUUACUGCUCCUGUGCUGCAUCACCCUUUCCUCUUUAAGGGAAAAACCAACGCAAUCUCAAGAGGCAGCAGAAGGAUUUCUGGCGCCGUUGUCGGGGAGCAUGAAAUCAAGAACUCAUCCAAGUAAGUGUCGCAAACUCAUAUCUUGCAUUUACUUUUUUGCCUCUCGUUUUCCUCUCCCCCACUUCUGAAAAACAAAAAAUUACAAAAAUAUUUGCCUUUUUCGUUCGCCCUUUUCUCUCACUUGCUUUCUGUUCGCUUGUGUGCUUGUUUGCUUGCUGAAGUCACCAUGACUGAAAACACCAAACUUUGUGACUUCUCGAAUACUAAUAAUAAUGAUUUUGUUAGUACUCUGAUUGCUCCCGCCACUAGUGCGGAAUCAUACGAAAUCAAUGCUGCUUUGUUGAAUCUUGUUAUGAAAGAGCAAUUCUCCGGCCUAUCUAGUGAAGAUGUCACAUCCCAUCUUAAUACCUUCAUUGAGCAUUGUGAUAUGCAAAAGAAGAAAGAUGUGGAUAAUGAUGUGAUUAAAUUGAAGCUUUUUCCGUUCUCGUUGCGAGAUCGAGCAAAAACCUUGUUUUCAUCUUUGCCCAAAAAUAGUAUUGAUUCUUGGAACAAGUGCAAAGAUGCUUAUAUAUCCUAGUAUUUUCCGUCGGCUAAGAUUAUCUCUCUCCGUAAUGAUAUCAUGAAUUUUAAGCAACUUGAUCAUGAACAUGUUGCACAAUCUUGGGAGAGAAUGAAAUUGAUGAUUAGAAAUUGUCCCGCUCAUGGCUUGAGUCUUUGGAUGAUUAUACAAAUCUUCUACGCUGGUUUGAAUUUCGCUUCUAGAAAUAUCUUGGACUCUGCCUCAGGUGGAAUGUUCAUGGAAAUCACAUUAGGACAAGCCACCAAACUUCUAGACAAUAUCAUGACAAACUACUCUCAAUGGCACACUGAAAGGUCACCUACUAGUAAGAAGGUACACGCUAUAGAAGAAAUUAACUCGUUGAGUGCUAAGAUGGAUGAGUUAAUUAAAUUGGUUUCUAGUAAAGGUGCUCCUUUAGAUCCUAAUGAUAAGCCCUUGUCUUCCUUGAUUGAGAGUAGCAACGCGAGCUUGGACGUUAAUUUUGUUGGUAGGAAUAAUUUUGGCAACAACAAUGCUUUUAGAGGAAAUCCCUCUAAGAACUUUGGCAACUCCUACAACAAUACUCAUGGAAAUUACAAUAAAUUACCCUCUGAUCUAGAGAGUAAUAUCGAAGAGUUUAUCAACUCACAAAAGAUUUUCAAUGCGUCCAUAGAGGAAAAACUACUCAAAAUUGAUGAUUUGGCUAGGAGCGUUGUUAGAAUGUCUAGUGAUAUUGAUGCUUUGAAAGUUAGAUGUGUUCCUCCCAAGAUCAAUAUGGAUGAAACUUUGAAAGCUAUGCGUGUUUCCAUGAGUGAGAGCAAAGAAAGAACCAUCCAAAUUCGUGCUAGGCGUGAAUGGCUUAAAAAGGCGUGUUCUCGUGAUAAGAAUCACGAAGAUCUUAAAGUGCUUGGUGUGAUUCCGAUUGAAUCUUUGAUUUCUCGUGACAAAUCUAAUGAUGAUGGGGCUGGAUAUGAAUCCACUUUGGUUGAAAAACGCCCCAAUGAUUCGGAUUCCAUCUAUCUUUAUGCUAAAAGCAUUGAAAGUGGAGUAGAAGAUAUUAAAACUUUGAGUAGUAAUGAAACUAGUACUUUGGAUUUCAAUGAAUUCAAUUAUGAUAGUUGCUCCUUUAUUGAAUGAAUUUCCUCAAUGCAAUCCUUGCUAAACUCUCCACAAGCUUAUAGUCAAAACAAGGCCUUUACCGAUGUUAUCGUCGAUGCUAUGAUAAAAUGUCUUGAAGAGAAAAUUGAGUUGGAAGUUUCUAUUCCUAGAAAGCUUCAUGAUGAGUGGGAACCUACUAUCAAAAUCAAAAUCAAAACCUAUGAAUGCAAUGCUUUGUGUGAUUUGGGUGCUAGUGUUUCCGCGAUUCCAAAGUCUUUAUGUGAUGUUGUAGGCUUUAAUGAGAUUGAGGAGUGUUCUCUUAAUUUGCAUCUUGCGGAUUCUACUGUCAAGAAACCCAUGGGAAGGAUCAAUGAUGUUAUUAUUAUUGCAAAUAGGAACUAUGUACCCGUGGAUUUCAUUGUGCUUGAUAUUGAUUGCAAUCCUACAUGCCCUAUCAUUCUUGGUAGACCUUUCCUAAGGACUAUUGGUGCUAUCAUCGAUAUGAAGGAAGGGAAUAUUAGGUUUUUAUUUCCUUUAAAGAAGGGCAUGGAGAAUUUUCCUAGAAAGAAAAUAAGAUUGCCUUAUGAAUCCAUGAUGAGGGCUACUUAUUGUUUGAGCACCAAAGACGACGAUACGUGAUUCUAUCGCCUUAUGCCUAGCUAAGGGCGUUAAACAAUAACGCUUUUUGGGAGGCAACCCAAUGAAUUUAUCUUUUUUCUUUCUGUUUUUUUGCGUCCACACCAUCAUAAUUCUGUUAUGAUUGUGUUUUUUGUGUUUCUUUUUGUGUUUGAGCCAAGCAAAACCUUUAUGACUAGUUUUGGUGAUGGUUGUUUGAUCCUGCUGGAAAAAGACAGAAACAUUUCGCUCACGAAAUUAUUUUUCAUUUUUAUUCAGAAGAGCUUUUGAGUUGAUUUGUUUUGCUGAUGGUUGAUAUGCCUUUUUCCCAGGCUGUAGUAGUUUUUCAGAAUUUUUGAGAUACCAGAAGUAUACGAAGUAUACAGAUUUCUACAGACUGGUCUGUUUUUGACAGAUUCUGUUUUUGUUGUGUUGGUUGCUUGUUUUGAUGAAACUAUGGAUAGUAUCAGGGGGCUACUAGCCAUGGAAAAGUGAUAAUAAAGUAAUCUAACACCAAUAUAAAUAGAAAUCAAGAUUGCUACAGUACCUAAAUAUGUGGUAGUUUGUUUUCUUGUGCUAAUGAUAUCACGAGUUUCUGUUUAAGUUUUUUGUUGUGAAGUUUUCAAGUUUUGGGUGAUGUUCUCAUGGACAAAGGGAUAAAGAGUGGAAAUAGCUCAAGCUUGGGGAUUCCCAAGUCAUCCCAAGCCAAAUUCAAAGACACCAAAAAGCCUAAGAUUGGGGAUGCCCCGGGAAGGCAUCCCCUCUUUCGUCUUCAAUCCAUGAGUAACAUUACUUGGAGCUAUAUUUUUAUUCACCACAUGAUAUGUGUUUUGCUUGGAGCGUCUUGUAUCAUAGGAGUUUUUUCUUUCUUUUGUGUCACAAUCAUCCUUUCUGCACACCUUUUGAGAGAGACAUGCACUCAUCGUGAAUUUGCUAGAAUACUCAUUGUGCUUCACUUAUAUCUUUUGAGCUAGGCAACUUUGCUCUAUGUGCUUCACUUAGAUCUUUUAGAGCACGGCGGUGCGUAACUUGGUAGUUGGCUUGUGCUAUGAAAGUAGUCCCAAAGGUGAUAGGUACCCAAAGAGGAUACAAUAAAACUUCCAUCUUCAUGUGCAUUGAGUAGAAAGAGAAGUUUGAUUCCUCUCAAUUAGUUUUGAGACGUGGAUUCGGUAAUACUAAGAGUUAUGUUAGUAGGGUGUUGUGAAUCUAGAAAUACUUGUGUUGAAGUUAGUGAUUCCCGUAGCAUGCACGUAUGGUGAACCGCUAUGUUAGGAAAUCGGAGCAUAAUUGAUCUAUUGAUUGUCAUCCUUUGUGUUGCGGUCGGGAUCGCGCGAUGGUUAACACCUACCAACCCUUCCCCUAAGAGUAUGUGUUUAGCACUUUCUUUUGAUUACUAAUAAAAACUUUUGCAACAAGUAUGUGAGUUCUUUAUGACUAAUGUGAGUCCAUUGUAUAGAUGCACUUUCACCUUCCACCAUUGCCAGCCUCUCUAGUACCGCGCAAUUUUCACCGGUGCACAAACCCACCAUAUGCCUUCCUCAAAACAGCCACCAUACCUACCUACUAUGGCAUUUUCAUAGCCAUUCCGAGAUAUAUUGCCAUGCAACUCCCACCGUUCCGUCUCAUCACUUGUGCCGUCACUCUCAUAUUGCCAUUGCAUGAUUGUAAGAUAGCUAGCGAGAUGUUUCAACGUCAUACGCCAAGCUAGAUCGUUGCACAUCCCGGUACACUGCCGGAGGCAUUUCCUAUAGAGUCAUCAUCGUUCUAAGCUUUGAGCUGUGAGUAAAUAAAAGUGUGAUGAUCAUCAUUAUUAGAGCAUUGUCCCAUGUGAGGAAAUAAAAAAAAGCGGCCAAAGUUGCCCACAAUAAAAAAAGGAGAGAAGAUAAAAAAAGAGGCCAAAGAGCCCAAACAAAAAAGAGAGAGAAAAAGAGAGAAGGGACAAUGCUACUAUCUCUUUCCACACUUGUGCUUCAUAAUAGCACCAUGUUCUU